CUACGGAGGGUCCGAGCGUUAAGCGGAAUUACUGGGCGUAAAGCGCGCGUAGGCGGCUAUAUAAGUCAGAUGUGAAAUCCCUGGGCUCAACCUAGGAACUGCAUUUGAAACUGUAUGGCUAGAGUAUGGUAGAGGUGAGUGGAAUUUCAGGUGUAGCGGUGAAAUGCGUAGAGAUCUGAAGGAACAUCAGUGGCGAAGGCGACUCACUGGGCCAUUACUGACGCUGAGGUGCGAAAGCGUGGGUAGCAAACAGGAUUAGAAACCCUAGUAGUCC
rnacentral:rRNA from 1 species